rnacentral:rRNA from 1 species
UGAGGAAUAUUGGUCAAUGGACGCAAGUCUGAACCAGCCAUGCCGCGUGAAGGAUGAAGGCCUUCUGGGUUGUAAACUUCUUUUAUGGGGGAAGAAACCCUCCCUUUCCAGGGAGGUUGACGGUACCCUAGGAAUAAGCACCGGCUAACUCCGUGCCAGCAGCCGCGGUAAUACGGAGGGUGCAAGCGUUAUCCGGAUUUACUGGGUUUAAAGGGUGUGUAGGCGGGUCUUUAAGUCAGUGGUGAAAUCUCCGGGCUCAACCCGGAAACUGCCAUUGAUACUAUUGGCCUUGAAUUUUGUUGAGGGGGGCGGAAUAAGUCAUGUAGCGGUGAAAUGCAUAGAUAUGACUUAGAACACCGAUAGCGAAGGCAGCUCCCUAAGCAAACAUUGACGCUGAGGCACGAAAGCGUGGGGAUCAAACAGG